ensembl:snRNA U6 U6 spliceosomal RNA
GUGGUCGUGUCGGCAGCACAGAUACGCAAAUUGGAAUGACACAUAGCAGAUUAGCAGGGCCCCUGUGCAAGGAUGACAUGCAAAUUCGUGAAGCGUUUCGUAUUUUU